rnacentral:rRNA from 1 species
GAUGAACGCUGGCGGCGUGCCUCAAACAUGCAAGUCGAGCGAGGCUACGAAUUACCGCAAGGUAAGGCAUAGCCUAGCGGCGAACGGGUGAGUAACACGUGGGUAACCUACCUGGAAGACAGGGAUAACGAUUCGAAAGGGUCGCUAAUACCUGAUAAUAUCCAUCUGCCGGAUGGCGGAGGGAAGAAAGGGGAAACCCGCUUUCAGAUGGGCCCGCGUCCCAUCAGCUAGUUGGUAAGGUAAAGGCUUACCAAGGCGACGACGGGUAGCCGGUCUGAGAGGAUGUACGGCCACACUGGGACUGAGAUACGGCCCAGACUCCUACGGGAGGCAGCAGUUGGGAAUCUUAGGCAAUGGACGAAAGUCUGACCUAGCGACGCCGCGUGAGGGAAGAAGGGCCUUCGGGUUGUAAACCUCUGUCAUGGGGGAAGAAGUAAGUGACGGUACCCAAGAGGAAGCCCCUGCUAACUAACGUGACCAGCAGCCGACGGUAAAAUAGCGUACU